rnacentral:rRNA from 1 species
UAUAAUGCAGUCGAGCGAAUGGAUUAAGAGCUUGCUCUUAUGAAGUUAGCGGCGGACGGGUGAGUAACACGUGGGUAACCUGCCCAUAAGACUGGGAUAACUCCGGGAAACCGGGGCUAAUACCGGAUAACAUUUUGAACCGCAUGGUUCGAAAUUGAAAGGCGGCUUCGGCUGUCACUUAUGGAUGGACCAGCGUCGCAUUAGCAUAGCUUAGUGAGGUAACGGCUCACCAAGGCAACGAUGCGUAGACGACCUGACAGGGUGAUCGGCCACACUGGGACUGAGACACGGCCCAGACUCCUACGGGAGGCAGCAGUAGGGAAUCUUCCGCAAUGGACGAAAGUCUGACGGAGCAACGCCACGUGAGUGAUGAAGGCUUUCGGGUCGUAAAACUCUGUUGUUAGGCAAGAACAAGUGCUAGUUGAAUAAGCUGGCACCUUGAUCGGUACCUAACCAGAAAGCCACGGCUAACUACGUGCCAACAGCCGCGGUAAUAACGUAGGUGGCAAGCGUUAUCCGGAAUUAUUGGGCGUAAAGCGCGCGCAGGUGGUUUCUUAAGUCUGAUGUGAAAGCUCCACGGCUUCACACCGUGGAGGGUUCAUUGGAAACUGGGAGACUUGAGUGCAGAAGAAGGAAAGUGGAAUUUCCAUGUGUAGCGGUGAAAUGCGUAGAGAUAUGGAGGAACCACCAGUGGCGAAUGCGACUUUCUGGUCUGUAACUGACACGGAGGCGGCGAAAGCGUGGGGAGCAAACAGGAUUAGAUACCCUGGUAGUCCACGCCGUAAACGAUGAAGUGCUAAGUGUUAGAGGGGUUUCCGCCCUUUAGUGCUGAAGUUAACGCCAUUAACCACUCCGCCUGGGGAGUACGGCCGCAAGGCUGAAACUCAAAGGAAUGGACGGGGGCCCGCACAAGCGGUGGACCAUGUGGUUUAAUUCGAAGCAACGCGAAGACCCUUACCAGUUCUUGACAUCUCUGGACAACCUUAGAGAUAGGCUUCCUCCUUUCGGGAGCAGAGGGACAGGUGGUGCAUGGUUGUCGUUCAGCUCGUGUCGUGAGAUGUUGGGUUAAGUCCCGCAACGAACGCAACCCUUGAUCUUAGUUGCCAUCAUUCAGUUGGCCACUUCUAAGGGGACUGCCGGUGACAACCCGAGGGAACGGGGGGAGGACUUCAAAUCUAUCAUGACCCUAUAUGAACUUGGGUUCCACCCGGCUUCCAAUGGACGGUCCAAAGAGGCUGUCCAAGAACCUCGGGAGGGGUGAGUUAUCUUUCUUAAAACCUUUUUCAGUUGGGAUUUUAGGUUGCAAUUCGCUUACAGGAAGCGGGAAUCGCUGUAAAUCGGGGAUCAGCAGCCCGCGGGAAAUAGUUCCCGGGCCUUGUACACACCCCCCGUCACCACCAGGGAAUUUGUUACCCCCGAAGGUGGGGGGGUUACCC